UCCUGCUUAGUCGGUAGAGCAGAAGACUCUUAAUUUCAUGGACAUGGGUUCGAGCCCCAUGUUGGGUGAA